rnacentral:rRNA from 1 species
GACAGAGGUCCCAAGCGUUAGGCGGAAUCACUGGGCUUAAAGCGUGUGUAGGCGGAUUUGUAAGUACCUUGUGAAAUCCCACGGCUCAACCGUGGAACUGCUUGGUAUACUGCUUAUCUUGGGCCAUCUAGGGGCGAGCGGAACAAACGGUGGAGCGGUGAAAUGCGUAGAUAUCGGGAAGAACACCCGUGGCGAAGGCGGUUCUCUGGGACGGUACUGACGCUGAGACGCGAAAGCGUGGGGAGCGAACAGG